rnacentral:lncRNA from 1 species
UCCGAUCUGGUGGCACAACAAGCUUCAUGUACAUGGGAUUCCCGGGACCCCCUAAUGGUGGCACAACAAGUUUCAGGUACAUGGGAUUUCCAUGGUUAUCAAGUCGAUCAUAUCGACUGGCGACUUAAUGAAGCAGCUGAUGCCCUCUCGCGUCUCGGCUCGCAACGUAAGCCGGUUCCUCCUAAUGUCUUUGUGGAUAUUCUGCAUAAUCCUUCUGUGAGGUUGCCUUCAGAAGAGGAACUGGCGAUACCAGAUCCCGAGUCUCAGUUUGUGGCAGCUCUACGUGCUAUGCCGGAUUGGGUUCUUCCUUACUUGGCGUACCUCACGGGAGGCGAGUUACCUUCGGAUGAGGUGUUGGCCCAUCAAAUCGUUCGUCGGAGCAAGUCCAUUGUCGUCAUCAACGGCGAGUUAUACAAACUAAGUACUUCUGGGGUAUUUCAAAGAUGCGUUUCUUCUGAUGAAGGGUGCAUAAUUCUCAACGAGAUCCAUGCAGGAGAUUGCGGGCAUCACGCCGGGUCACGUUCCCUGGUUUCCAAGGAGUUCCGGCAUGGGUUCUUUUGGUUGACGGCUCAUGCGGAUGCAGAAGAGAUAGUUCGUCAAUGUGAUGGCUGUCAAUGUUUUGGACAACAGGUUCAUGUGCUGGCUCAAUAAUUAAGGAUGAUCCCCAUCACUUGGCCUUUUGCGGUCUGGGGGUUAGAUAUGGUUGGUCCCUUUAAGAUGUCAUCCAAUAAAAAGACUCAUCUACUGGUGGCGGUCGAUAAAUUCACCAAGUGGGUCGAAGCAGAGCCUGUUGGCAGCUGUGACGCGGAAACGGCCAUCAAAUUCUUGAAAAAAUUGAUAUCCCGGUUUGGAUACCCACACAGCAUUAUCACUGAUAAAGGUACCAACUUAUCACAAGGGGCGAUGCAGGAGUUUUGCAACCGGGAGCAUAUUCGGCUUGAUGUGUUUGCGGUUGCUCGUCCACAAUCUAAUGGGCAGGCAGAACGGGCGAAUCAGGAAGUGCUGCGGGGAAUCAAACCCCGACUUAUGUUUCCCCUGGAACGCACCCCAGGGUGUUGGGUUGAGGAGUUGCCUUCGGUAUUAUGGAGCAUUCGAACCACCCCGAAUCGUUCUAUGGGUUUUACUCCUUUCUUCUUGGUAUACGGAGUAGAAGCCGUUCUUCCCGGUGACAUUAGGCAUGACUCGCCCCGAGUCGCCGCUUAUGUGGAGUAGGAUAAUGAGUUGGCACAUCAAGAUUCUUUGGAUGCUUUGGAGGAAGCACGCGAGUUGGCUGCCUCCCGAUCGACUAUCUAUCAGCAAGACUUGCGGCGUUAUAAUAGCCUCCGGGUCAAGAGCCGAGCUUUUCAAGAGGGCGACUUAGUGCUCCGGUUGAUCCAAGAUCGCACUAGCAUGCAUAAGUUGUCACCGCCAUGGGAAGGACCGUUUGUCAUCAACAAAAAUCUUCGCAAUGGGUCAUACUAUUUGGUGGAUCUUCGGCCUGAUCGGCCAACGACGGAGGCUAAGUCAACUCGCCCCUGGAACAUAGCCCAUGUGCGGCCUUACUACACUUGAGCUAUUGGCUCCCCUUUUUCCUUUCUCUCCCAUCUUUGGAAAUUGUAAGUCCUUUGUUUAUAUAAAGCAAUAAAGUCGAUACCCACGAAUUUUGGGUUUUCCUGCCACUUCAUCUUCUUGAAAGCAUGGAUCUUUAUUGUCCUUCAACAAGUCACCCAAGCAUGGACGCUAUCAAUACCAGAGAGCAUAAGUCGCCAUGCUGCACUUAUUACAACACUGGGUAUCGAUAAGCCAAAGAGGAUCAAGUCGCUACAAGCGCACGAUUCAAACAUGGGCACCUUAUAUGAUUCUUAGGAUUAGGCCGGCUUACUUGGGGGCUAUCAGCUCCCAAGUCGUUUUGUGGUAAGAGCGUAUACGCUUCUACAAUCCUAUGACCAGUCUUUCCCCUAAUCAUAGGUCACUUGGGGGCUUCCUCUCACUGAGAUCAGCCUAACUACCCAUUUGGCUAGCGAAAAAUUACCGCACUAAAAAUGGUUAUACUGGACUGUGUGUUGGCCAAAUCGCCAUAUGGAACCAUGAACUCUUGGCGAGUCAAUCCGCUAUUUGGACCCUGAACUCACCUUGGUUAAAAUAUGCAUGGUACCGGCUAGUGCCCCACAUGGAAAAUAGAGAAACCAUUGGUUCAUUGAACCUGCUUCACCGAAGCUUGACUCGCGCCUGAUCAGCCGGUCUAAAUACUUGAUCUUUUUUGCACAAAAACUCUCCUUUGGGUAGCACUUGAGUUUUUCUAACUCGUCCUAUCCUGUCGCGAGUUGAACGAGCCAACGAAAUUCUUACUAUCACCUUCCUGGCACUGCCAUAAGGUUUCACAGAUCUAUGAGACUCGCCGUGUCUCGUUGAGCCGGGUUUCUUCAUACAAUUUGCCAAGACACCUUGAGUCGGUUAUUAUUUAUCAUCAUCCAUUACUCAUUGAGAUGGUUUGAUAUAUGCUUUUGCUAGCCAAACAGGUUGGUGAUCGAAUCUUUACUGACAUGGCGGGUCAAGCAUCAUGGCACUCCAAGGGCGGCACAAGGUUUUUUCAAAGGUCACAGAAGAGUUCCACAACAGACAUAAGCAAAGGAUUGUUUUCUACAAUGACCUAUUACAUGGCUCAGAUGGCCAAAUCAGUAGGGUCUAUUCUGCUGGUGCCUCCGGGUCAACUUGCCUCGAGCUGUGGCCGACUUCAAGUUGUAAAUCGCGAAGUACCCAAUUACACUUGGAUAGAGCGGCAAAUUCGUCUUCAUCGUUCANNNNNNNNNNNNNNNNNNNNNNNNNNNNNNNNNNNNNNNNNNNNNNNNNNNAGAUCCGACUCCAAAUCAAAAGGUUCUUGGAUCGACGAGGAGUUAAGCUGGUUGUCACAAAUGCAGGCGGGUUUACUUUCUUGUUCUUGUCAUCAUAAGUGGCUUGGUACUUUGAUAAAUCCAAACUUGCUGCUAGCUGAGUCGCCGCCGAGCGUGAUUCCUUGACGACGCAAUGAUAAUCAUCUUGAGUAAACUCUGACUCGUCAUCCUUGAGCUGUGGGAAGCCUGCUGCUACCUCUUCGGGCUUCAGUUCUGGAGCAUACGCCAAACACCGACACAAGGUAGCCAGCGCCCCUUCCGGGCGGCUGAUCGGGUUAGCUCACCUAUCUGAGGCGGAAGGGUGGAUAAGCAUCCAAGCAUCUUUUUGAUUCAUGUGAUUGGUUCCUUGGUGCCCAUCACUGCCUUCAUGAUCAGCAUGCUCCCAGUACACAGCUGCUCAGUCAGUGUGUAAAUCGCCUUUAACUUCAAGAUGCAGUCGUCCUGAAGGUUGGCGGCUCUCGGGCCUGCGUGAGAAAGACAAAUGAUGGUUCGUACUUUGUUUUUUUCACACUAAUUUUUUAUUUUAGAGAUACGAAACCAGGAAUUCCUUCUUACCAAAGAUGGUCCGUGUCAUGCUGGAAAUAUGUUUCUUUAAACCGGCCAGUUCUUGUUGCAUCGCUCCCAAUUUUGUUUCAGUCGUUUCAGCUCGCUUUAGCGUGGUGGCUUGAUCAACUUGAGAUUUCUUGUCGGCGGCUUUCAGCUUUUCCAUAUUAGCUAAGAUUUCCUGUUAUUUUUCUUCUGCUUGAGCCCGCGCGUCUUGCUGGUCGGCUAAACUUUUCUUUAAGUCGCCCAACGUUGACUCGGCUUGGGCUAUAGAUUCCUGUCAACAUAUUUUGGAGGGACAAGUCUCAGAAUUGUUGCAAGCAACAUCCCUGACACUUGGGGGCUAAUGUAUAAUUUAAAAAAAAAACAAAAUUAUACCACAAGCAAGACCCGACUCAUCUUUCAAUAGAUGACCCGACCCUUGGGGGUUACGGGUCAAAGAUUUUUUAUACAUCAAGACCCGGAUCAUCUUUCAAAAGAUAACCCGGCCCUUGGGGGUUACAGGUCGAAGAUUUUUUCUACAUCAAGACCCGGCUCAUCUUUCAAAAUAUGACGGGGGUUAUAGGUCGAAGAUUUUUUCUAAGUCAAGACCUGGCUCAUCUUUCAAAAGAUGACCCGACCCUUAUGGGUUACAGGUCGGAAGAUUUUCUAACGCAAGACCCGGCUCAUCUUUCAAUAAGAUGACCCGGGCCUUGGGGGCUAAUGAGGAGGGUAUGCAUUAAGGCGUACCUCAUGUUUAUUCUUCAUCAUAUGGAGUAGGUUCUUCUCCAUUUCAUAACUUGUUUCUAGGCGACUUGCGAAGCCGGAGCAGAGUUCAUCAAACUCAAGUUUUUCAUAUUGAGGAAGUUUGGCCUUGGAGAUCUCAUGUCUGGUGGAAGGAUGGGACGAUGUUGAUACAUGCUGUGAUAAGAUUGCUGAAGCCGGCUUAGAGAAGACAGUACUAGUAAUGACCACAACAUCAGGAUCUUCAGCCGCCUUCAACGGACUUGGCGGGUUGGUUGUUUCCAUGCCUUCCUUGGGAGAACUUGGAAGGUCAAUUCGGUCAUCAGUAUAUCUUUUGUCGGGUCAACAUGAGCCGGUGCUGGGUCUUCUUUAAGCUGUGGGGCAGAAGGAGUGGAAGUUGGGCCGCCGGUUUUCCUCUUCUUUGCUUGCGCUCUAAGAAAAAUAGGGUCAUGUUUAAAGCAAGCAUCAUUAUCAUCAGGAAAGACAUAAGUAUUAUAAGGACUUACCAUUGUACGCGAAUCAUUGGCGGAAGGGCCGACAUCACUGAGUAGCCCGAUGAAGGGGGGAAAGUCUGCAAAAGUAAUAUCUCAAAAUAUGAGCGAGUUACAAGUGUGAUCCAAUAGAAAACAAAGGUAGAAAUUGAUAGAGGGUACCUCCUUUCGCCGUUUCUUGGUAGGGGUUUUUAUUGGUAACCCGAACAUCAAAUCCACUGAGUGGCUUCGAGUUUUCCGAAAGGAAGUGUGUUGCGACUUCUUCAAGAGGAAAUUAGGGUCUAGACAAGCAUUCGGGUGAGACAUGGGAACUUUCCCACAAACUCGCCUGGCCGACUUAGGCGAAGGAGAAGUUGAGUCGGAAGAAAUGGAAAUUACCUCUACGGCGUCAUCCUGGCUUUCGUUAUCAUCAUUCUAUACAUGGAAAUGCAGAGAUAUAAGCACAAAUUAGAGUAAAAGUGCGUCAAGACAAAAAGGAUAAAAUUUUACCUCUGAAGACGCUUCGCCGACUUGGGAUUCGUCCACAUCAGACGAUUUGGCGACAGCGGCUUGGUUUUUACCCUUGGACUUCUUUUUAGGAGGCGAUUUGGUUUGCUUCAGGGCAAGCUUCUUCGGCCUUCGUGACCAGAAUCGGUCGCCCUUCUGAGGUGGAAUUAUCAUUAUGCAAGUCAGAAUCCGGGUAAGUUGNNNNNNNNNNNNNNNNNNNNNNNNNNNNNNNNNNNAAAGAGUGAACCAAGGGCGGGCCAAAUUAUUUACCUUAGGAGCCGGGUUAAUCUUGCAAAAUGGCCUAAGCCCUAUUUGGCUACAUUUGGCCAAAGGCUCGCCGGUUUGCUUCUUGAUGAUGCUCACAAUGUCUUCCUCUGUGAGUGCUAUGUGGAAGUAGCAUUGAGGAUGGUUCAAAGUACCAGCAAACUUGCACAUCAAGCCGUCUAGGCGACUCAAGGGAAGGAUGUGCCAUUCCACCCAGCAGCGGAUCAGAUCAACUCCAGUAAGACCAAUGUUUGUUAAAGAUCGUAACUCGGAUAGCACUCGAAUGAAAUCUGAUUCAUCUUCUUCGGUGAGCUUGUCAGGAAGUUUGAAGUUUGUGGGCAGACGCUCCUUCCUGUAGCCUAGGAGUUUGUUCUCACCCAGAGGAGAAGUGUCCCGAUAAUAAAACCAAGACUCGGCCCAGCCUUUGGGGUGGCUGGGCAUGGCGAGUGAUGGGAAUGGACUGUCCUUGCGUUGUUGAACAUUAACCCCUCCAAGUUCUAAGCUAGGGCCAUUGGAGAACUCGGUCUGGCGAUUCAGGUGGAAGAAAUACCAAAACAAAGUGACCGACGGUUCCAUUCGUAGGUAAGCUUCACAGAAUACCUGGAAUUAGCACAUGUUGCUGAUCGAGUUGGGGCCCAGGUCUUGUAGGCAGAUGUUCAUAAAAAACAUAGCAUCUCUGAGGAACUUUGACCCUGGCUGCUAAAACCCUCGUUCGAGGUGGUCAGCAUAAACAACUAUUUCCCCUUCGGCCGAGUUGGGAAUUUCGUCGCCUAGUCCAGAUCGUCAUCCAAUGACUUCCUACGGGUCAAGGUUCCAUGUAUUUACGCACUGCUCGAGGAAGGUGUCGUCAAUUUUGGUCGGGAGCCAGUCGGCCUUAAAAACGGUACCCAUAGCUACAGAGGAAAAGGUCAUGGGUAAGUUAACCCGCCAAAACGCUUGUCGAGUGGUUGGGAGAAUCUAUUAACUGGCCAACAAGGGACCAGGUUUGGGCACGAGGGCGAUUUAGGAAUUUCCCAUUACUCACAGGAGGUACCUCAGGGCAUCAAAAACAUGCAGAAAAAUGACGAGGCAUGAAUCUACAAACAGUCUUCUACAUAGCAAGCAAUGCAACGGGGAUGUGCGAGCAAGGUAAAAUAACGGAGAAAACCUGGAUAAAGUGAAACAGAUCACGGUUGAAAGCAACUACGGCAGGGGUGAUUUAACCAAAGCCCUCUUGGUUCUCUAAACCGAAAUUAAAUGGAUUGGAGAUGUGGUCGGUGCUAAUAUGCUAAGCUACCACAUUGGAUCGAUUGGCAAACGCCGAGGAGUUCAAGGAGUUCUAGGGCGCAGCGAAUGGCGAACGUUGAAAGGCUCGGAUCUGUUCGUAAUGGUGGAAGACUAACCUGUUAAACAACGUCCGGAGGCGAUUGUACAGACCCGCGGUGGAGAUGGUGUGCCCGUUUAGCUCGACGAUGCGACGGACGCAGUGGCCGACGGCGGAGACCCUCGGGCGACGAUGGAGCUCGUCGGGCGGCGGCGGAGUUCCUUGUGUGGCUUCGAGGAAGAAGAAGAAACAGAAGAAGAAUGGGCAAAGAUUCCCUCUGCCCCCAUUCUCGAGCCUAUUUAAUAGGUCAGGUGCGGGGAUCAAGGCGCCUCGCGCAGGAACCGAAGGGGGCAAAUUAAAGAUUCGCACUUAUGGCUCCAAUAUUUUCGGGAUAUUUGCGCCGAGAGAUCCGUUGGGGAUUGCGUCAUCAUUUUCUGGAAUUAAAGGGAUAAGGUGACGUCACCGUAAACGGUUCGGCGACUUGGGUAUUUCCAUGGUGGAUGGCGGCUUAAGCGUAUGGUGCACGAGAAAGGUGGAAUGAGUCGUUCCUAAAGUAGGUAAAAGUUUAUUGGCGUGAACAGGUUCAAGUCAAUAUGGGGCCUAAUGNNNNNNNNNNNNNNNNNNNNNNNNNNNNNNNNNNNNNNNNNNNNNNNNNNNNNNNNNNNNNNNNNNNNNNNNNNNNNNNNNNNNNNNNNNNNNNNNNNNNUAAGUCAUCAGGGAGUCUUCGAGUCUUGGAAAGCACGGCGAUUUAGAAACUAAAGGAAUCACGACUUGUGUUAUGGCAAGGACUCUUGUAAACCCUAGGGCCUCGACCUGUAUAUAAAGGCGAGCCCCUGGAGAGGGGAGGUCAGGUUAGAAAUCAUCGAGAGCUAGGUCAGGCGAGUUACGCCCUCCUUGUAAUCGAAACAUCAUCAAUACAACACUAGAAGGACAUAGGCUUUUACCUCACCACGAGGGGCCGAACCUGGGUAAAACCGAGUCCCUCUUCCACUCAAACCCCUUUGAGUCGCCACCAAGGUGCGAUGGCUCCAUCAUUAAGUCCUUUCACUAGGAAAUCUGCCGUGAGAAAACCACGACAAUAACCAUGGAGGCCAUCAUUCCAAUGGAGGGAGUUUGCAUAAUCAUAAUGGCCCCAAGAAUGGGAAUGGGAAUGGAGGAAGCAACGGACAGAACCGUUCCAACCCAGCAACGCCCGCCAAGAAGGAUCUAAGUCACAUUAGUUGUUUUUAGUGCGGGAAUAAUGGACAUUACGCCAUGGAGUGUCCUAAAGCAAAGAAUGGAAAUGGCAAUGGAAGCUCUGGGAAUAAGCCCAACCCUUUCAACAGGGGACAAGUGAACCAUGCUAGCAUGGAGGAGGUUGAAGCGCAACCCGAUUCAGUACUAGGUAAGUUUUUGGUUAGGUCAUUUACUGCAAUCGUUCUUUUCGAUACUGGAUAAGUAUAACCUGCCAACCCAAGCCCUUAGGUCACCCAUGUUAGUAACCUCGCCAGGAGCAGAGUACAUGGCUAGCCUAUGGUGUGAUCUGUUACCAUUAAGGAUUGGUAACUACGUGUUCCCCUCAGACCUAAUAGUAUUGGAGUCACAAGGACUGGAUGUAAUAUUAGGUAUGCAUUGGUUAUUGAAGUAUGGAGGGAACAUUGACUGCGCCAGUAAGUCGAUUUUUCUCACCAGCCCAGAAGGAAGAAGGAUUAAGUAUGUAUCCCGGCAUGUGCCGAAGAGAACUCUAGUAAAUUCCUUAUCAGGAGUUGUACAGGAGGAAGUACUAGUGGUGAAGGAUUUCCCUGAUGUAUUCCCAAAGGAGUUGCCAGGCAUGCCACCAGACAGAGACAUUGAGUUUUUGAUUGAGCUUUUGCCAGGCACAGGGCCAAUAUCUAAGAGACCGUAUCGGAUGCCCGCAAAGGAUUCGGAAACAAUUAAGAAAUAGAUUAAGGAGUUACUGGAUAGAGGCUAUAUUCGCCCAAGUUCGUCACCUUGGGGAUCACAAGUGCUUCUAGUGGAGAACAAGGAUGGAUCGUUGAGAAUGGUAGUGGAUUAUCGAGGAUUGAAUGAAGUGGAAAUGAAGAACAAGUAUCCACUGCAAAUGAUCAAUGAUUUGUUUGACCAAUUGCAAGGAGCUAAAUUAUUCUUCAAGAUCGAUCUGCGAUCACGAUACCACCAGCUAAAGGUUUGAGAGCAGGAUAUACCUAAGACAGCUUUUACCACAAGGUAUGGGCUAUAUGAGUAUACCGUUAUGUCAUUUGGUCUCACUAACGCACCUGCCUAUUUCAUGAACAUGAUGAACAAGGUGUUUAUGGAGUUUUUGGAUAAGUUCGUCGUGGUGUUCAUUGAUGAUAUUCUGGUCUACUCGAAGAAUGAAGAGGAGCAUAAGGAGCAUUUGUGUUUGGUACAUGGGAAACUCCGAGAACAUCAGUUAUAUGCGAAGUUCAGCAAGUGUUAGUUUUGGUUGAAGGAAGUUGGUUUCCUUGGACAUGUUAUAUCCGAAGAAGGAAUAGCAGUAGACCCCACCAAAGUUGUCACAGUGACUAAUUGGGAACCACCCACGUCAGUUGGAGAGAUCUGGAGUUUUCUUGGACUCGCAGGAUACUACCGGAGAUUCAUUGAGAAUUUCUCUAAGAUUGCAAAGCCCAUGACGGAGUUGUUGAAGGACACCAAGUUCAAAUGGACUGAGGAAUGUGAAGCCGGUUUUCGGGAGUUGAAGAAACGCUUGGUUACAGCCCCACUGCUGAUUCUCCCCGAUCAACGCAAGGAUUAUCAAGUGUAUUGCGACGCUUCUCGUCGAGGACUUGGAGCAGUGUUGAUGCAGGAGGGAAGAGUUGUUUCGGAUGCCUCAGGACAGCUUAAACCCCAUGAGUUGAACUAUGCUACCCAUGAUUUGGAGUUAGCAGCCGUAGUGCAUGUGUUGAAAAAGUGGAGACAUUUUCUCACCGGAAACCACUGUGAGGUGUACACAAAUCACAAGAGUUUGAAGUAUACUUUCACACAGAAGGAGUUGAAUCUUAGACCAAGGAGAUGUUUGGAGCUCAUCAAGGAUUUUGAUAUGAGGUUGCACUAUCAUCUCGGAAAGCCUAAUGUAGUAGUCGAUGCGUUGAGUCGCAAAAGUCAUGUCAAUACACUCAUGACCAGAGGAUUACCUGAGGAGUUAGCAGAAGAUCUUCGCGAGCUAUGGUUGGAAAUAGUUUCGAGAGGUUAUGUACUAGCAUUGGAGAUUCAGUCUACCCUGAUGGAUAAGAUUAGAGAAGCCCAGAAGACUGACAAAGAGAUUGCCAAGAUAAAGGAAAGGAUGAGCAAAGGAAAGGCUAAAGGAUUUCGUGAGGAUGAGCACGAUACCUUAUGGUUGAGGAUCGCGUAUAUGUGCCUAAUGACCCCGAGAUCAGGAAGUUGAUUCUGCAGGAGGCCCACGAUUCACCGUAUUCGAUUCACCCAGGAAAUACCAAGAUGUAUCUGAAUUUGAAGGACAGUUUCUGGUGGACCGGAAUGAAGAACGAUAUUGCGGAGUAUGUAGCAGUUUGUGAUGUAUUUCAGAGAGUGAAGGCGGAGCAUCAGAAGCCAGCAGGUUUGCUACAACCAUUGCAGAUACCCGAAUGGAAGUGGGACAACCUAGGAAUGGAUUUUAUAACGGGAUUGCCCAGGACUCGUUCAGGCUAUGACUCGAUUUGGGUUAUAGUCGAUCGUUUGACGAAGGUAGCUCAUUUCAUCCCAGUAAAGACCGCUUACACCAGUGCUAAGUUGGCAAAGAUAUACAUGACCAGGAUCGUAUGUCUGCAUGGAGUUCCGAGGACCAUUAUAUCAGAUAGAGGAACCCAGUUUACCUCAUAGUUCUAGAAUCAGUUGCAUGAAACGUUGGGUACCAGGCUAGAGUUUAGUACAACCUUUCAGCCUAAGACAUAUGGACAGACCGGGAGAGUCAAUCAGAUUUUAGAGGACUUGUUGAGAGCUUGUGCGCUAGAUUAUGGAUCUAGUUGGGACGACAAUUUGCCGUAUGCAGAGGUAUCUUACAAUAAUAGCUAUCAAGCCAGUUUGAAGUUGGCCCCUAUCGAAGCCUUGUACGGAAGGAGGUGCAGGAUACCGUUGUUAUGGGAUGAAGUUGGAGACCAUCAGUUGUUUGGACGGGAUUUGAUUAAGGAGUCUGAAGAGAAGGUUAAGUUUAUUCGCGAUAGACUCAAGGUAGCCUAGUCCAAGCAGAAGAGUUAUGCGAAUUCAAAACGCAACGAGACAAUUCAUGAAGUUGGAGACAAAGUUUAUCUUUGUGUGUCCCCACUUCGAGGUGUUAAGCAUUUUGGAGUUAAGGGAAAGUUAUCACCAUGUUUUGUGGGACCAUAUAUAGUUUUGGAGCGUAUGGGAGAAGUUGUUUAUAGGUUGGAAUUGCGAGAAGGAUUGUCAGGAGUUCCUGAUGUGUUCCAUGUUUCCCAGUUGAAGAAGUGCCACACAGAUAUGGCCAAUAUUCCUGUAAGAGAUACAGUGCCACUGGAAGCGAUUUAGUUGGAUAGCGAUUUAACUUACGAGGAGAAACCAUUGAAGAUUCUCGAGUUUGCCAGCCGAGUCACACGCAUCAAGGUUAUCAAGUUCUGCAAAGUUCAAUGGAGCCACCAUACCGAGGAUGAAGCCACCUGGGAAUGAGAAGAAGACCUACGGUAGGAUCACCCACACCUAUUCUCUAGCCAACCCGAAUCUCAAGGGCGAGAUUCAUCUGAAGGGGGUAGGUUUGUAACAUCCCGAAUUUUCAAUUUGGAAUGUUAUGCAUUAGAUCAUCAUUGCAUAUCAUAUUUUAUUGCAUUCUUGGUUGAUCCUAGAAAUUCUACGCAACUCAAGGACCCACGGAGAGUGUUGGGGAAUUUUCUAUUUUCAUAAUUGAGUUUUCCCAAAUUUUGAAAAGAGGAUCAUUCGGUUUUAAUUAUUUUCUCUUCAAAUAUUUCUAAAUAUAAAAUAAAACAGAGGGGAUAAAAUGACUUCCCCCAAAGAAAGAAAUAUUGGUGGAAAAAUAUUAAAAUCAAAUAGGAAUUUUAUUCAGAGUUUUAUUGCUAUUUUAUUUCAAUUAGAAAAAAUCCGUUUUUCAAAAUUGCAUUAGAGGCCCCAAUAAAUGUUCACCUUGUUCGUCAUAUUUUUAGAGGACGGGGAAAAUUUAUUUCAAGACUUUUGGAGUCUGUUUGAUAUUUCUUUUUAUUUAUCUUCUCCGCAUCGGAAUUAUUUAAAAAAAAGUCAAACCAUUUAAACGGGCCAUGUCCGACCGGGACUCUAUCCCGUCGGCCUUUAUAAGCCCAGCCGAGGCGCCCCGGAAACCCUCGUCGCCGCGCCGCUCAGCCGCGCCGCCGCCGCGCCGCCCAGCCGCCUCGCCGCCGUGCCGCCUCGCCGCCCCAUCGCCGACCCCGCCCUGAGGUAACCGGGUUUUUUAAAUAAAACCCUAGAUUUAUUUUUAGAUCAGUUUUAUUAUUUUAUUUCCGGUUUAUUUAAUUAGCGUACGUUCGUCUGUACGUUCGUUUUAACGAACGAUGUUCAUCCGUUAGCCGCAGACAGCGAACGUUCGUUCGUUAGCCUGUUUGUCAGUUUUUAUUUUUCCAUGGAUUUUCCACGAUUAUUUCUGAUCGCGAUUUCUGGACUGAUUUUCGUUUUAGUUUAUCUUUUCGCUCGUUUAUCGGAAUCAGGUGGUUCAAACGCCCAGAUCUUUUUCUCGAAACCCUCUUUCUGUUUAACCAACUUGAACAAGAUUUUUGUACUGUAAAAGUUGACUCUAGUCCAAAUUAGUAAACAAACUUGUUUCUUUCGCAGUUUGAGUUUCGCUGCUUCAUUUGUUUUGAUUCUUUUUGCAAACCGGAGUUCUUCAGUUGAACUUUCUGGUUAGAUCUCUUAUCUGAGUUUUCCCCGUGCAUCUAGUUUGAGUGCUUAUGUAUGUUAUUGUUUGUUUACGAUAGAGUACCCGGAGUGCGAAGCGUGCUACUAGUCUCUAGGUUUUGUGGAUCAUCAGCAAGGCAACUAACCCUUUGAUCAUACCUCUUUACUACCAAGUUUUAUUGCAUCAGAUCAACCCUCAACAUUGCAUGGUUAGGAUAUGAUUAACAUGUGGGUUUUGGGAAGUAGAUGAUGAGGUAGAACCUAUUGUCCUGUUUAUUAUCAAAUCUUUGGGAGUUACUUCUACGAUUUGCUUAUUGCUAUGCUAUGCUCGUUGACGUGGAUUGGGUGAGUGUAUCCAUGACAGAUGUGAGUAUUGUUAAUUAAUUGUUCACUUAAGGUGGCUACUUGAAUACACAUCUGGGUGGAUUGCUUGAGGCACCUUGGGGUACCCAGUGGUCGUCAGGGCACCUGGAGAAAUCCAGUGUUGUCCUAGGAUAUCACGGAGUAACCGUGUGAUCAUCCUACGGUCCGGCACACAGGCUCAAACGAAUCAUAAGAUUAUUCAUUCUAGAAACUUCCGUGGGCAGCCACAAGCCAUUAUGGGCUCUGGCAUAGUUGAGUAAGUUGCGUGAAGCUCUUGAAGCGGUAGACUAGCAGAUGUAGUGGGUUGUAGGUGGUACGGUCUACCGAGAGUAGAGAGUUAAUGCUUCAGAAAGACUAUGUCUUGAAUCUCUGACCAUGGAUGUAUUCGAGUCUUGUGGGAAAAGUGUGCAAACCUCUGCAGAGUGUAGAAACUAAUCAUCGUUAGCCGUGUCCCCGAUUAUAGACAUCUUGAGUAUCUGGUUCCUGGAUUAUCAUGUUGAUCUCAUCACUCUAAAUAAAUUUGUUGGGUUUAAUGAUGAUGCUUAAUUGGGAUUGAGNNNNNNNNNNNNNNNNNNNNNNNNNNNNNNNNNNNNNNNNNNNNNNNNNNNNNNNNNNNNNNNNNNNNNNNNNNNNNNNNNNNNNNNNNNNNNNNNNNNNGGUUGCCUUCAUUUUAUGGAAAGCAAUGUAUUUGUGAACAAUGAUAUCAAGAUUUUUCAAGGAAUAAUUUGGAUACCUUUCCUAUAUGUCUUUCCACAAAGUAUGAGCACACUCAAAGUUUUGCAACUGAUUAAUCACGUUUCUUGGUAAACCUCUAAUGAUAAGAUUGACGGUGUUGAGGUUGCCAAGCAUGUUAACUUCAUCAUCAUGAGAAGGAUCUAUGGGGUCAAUGGGAGGUGCAUAGGGAUAUUCAAUAUACUUGCGCAAAUGGAACUCAUCGAAUAUGUCAAGCUUUUCGUCUUUCCAUUGUCUAAAGUACUCCCCAUCAAAAAUAGGCACUCUACAACUAAAAAUCUAAGAACUAGUCACAUUCAUCUUCCUCCAAUGGCUGUUAAACCAAGGUUUUGGUGACCUUGCUCUGAUACCACUUGAGGGAUCGAUAUAAGAUGUCUCUGGGGGGGGGGGAAUAUGCUACUUGUCAAGAUAAAAUUUCUAGCCUAGCCAAAUUUCUAGGAGGGCAGAAAUCUAGCAGUUCUAACAAGUCCACAUACCCUACACAAGCAGUUCUAAGAGUCUAGCAGCGGAAAGUAAAACAUGCAAGUGUAAAGUAGAGGAGAAGGGAAGCAAGAUCAAACGCAUGGGGUUGACACGAUAAUUUUUGGCAUGGUUCCGAUAGGUGGCGCUAUCGUACGUCCAUGUUAGUGGAGACUUCAACCCACGGAGGGUAACGGCUGCGAGAGUCCAUGGAGGGCUCCACCCACGGAGGGUCCACAAAAAAACAGCUUUGUCUAUCCCCCCGAGGCUUCCUUCCACGGAGGACUAGUGUUACUCACGGUAGAUAUUCAUGAAGUAGGAGAUAUCCUUGCCCUUACAAACAUCUUUGUUCAACUCCACAACAUGAAGUAGGAGGCUCCCAAGCGAGACCUAACCAAUCUAGGAGGCACCAUGCUCCAAAAGGUAAUAUAUGUGGUAGAUCAAUGAACUCCUUGCUCUUGUGCUUAUAAAGAUAGUCUCCUCAACACAAAUAUCUCUCUCACAGAAUAUGCAUGGGUAGGAGAGGUUGACUUGGUGGAAAGCAGUUUGGGGAGGCUAGAGAUCAAUAUUCAAAUGAUUGGAUUGGAAUAUUUUGGAAUAUUCAAGGUAAUAUGUUGGUGACACCGAAUUUGUGAAUGUGGAACUUUAUAGAGUGGAUAUGUGGGAACAAUGACCGAGUGUUUUGGUGGCUAACUUUGAGCAUUUGAGCAAUCAGUUCAUUUUACUACCUCACCCGCUUUUAAUAGUAUUGGCUUUCCUAUGGACUCCAAAGUGAUUUCUCACAAGUAUGAAAUGAAGAGUCUUCUAGCUUGAAGCUUGAGCCAAUAUUAUUCCUUUCUUGCAUCCAGGGGCAUCUCCACAUAAACCUUAAGCCAUAGCUCUUCAUGGACUAAACCUGAAAUAUCUAGGUAAAAGUAUUAGUCCAAGAGGCAAUGUAUGUUGUCAUGAAUUAUCAAAAUCACCAAGGGAGUAUCUGUGCUUGCAAUGGUGUUGCAAUACGUUCUUGAUUCUCUUAUAGUGGGUGGCUAGAGUGACACAAGAUUACACCCGAGUAAGGGGGUUGUUGCGUAUGGUAGUAAAUGGGAAUUGAUGUUUACUGCUAUUGUUGGGUUUACCUUAAUGAUUUCUUGGAUUUGCGGAUUCUUGCUAGAGGUCCAAUCAUAAGUUCAUAUGAUCCAAGUAUGAAAACUAUGUUAGCUCAUGCCUCUCCGACAUAUAAAAUUGCAAUAAUGAUUACUGAUCUUGUUAUCAAUUACCUUGGAAAAUUCCGCACACCAUACCAUAAUUAUUCCACCCUUGCUUUUUUUAAUAUAAUAUAAUAUAUGCUAAAUUAUUUAGGCAUCAACUAUUUUUCAUAUUUUAGUUCUCCAAUAUCAUGCAAAGCUAUCCUCUUUAUACCUAGAGCACAAUUUUAUUUCUCCUUUCUAGUUAGAAGCAACUAGUGUGUGUACAUGGAGUUGUAUUAGUCGCAUAUAGGACUUGACAGAAUAUUGAUCUUACUUUUAGCUCCUUGUGGGUUUGACACUCCAUACUUACUACUUCCAUAUUUGGAAAGUGCUAUGAUGAUUCCUUGCACUUGGGGAUCAUCAGUCUCUAGUNNNNNNNNNNNNNNNNNNNNNNNNNNNNNNNNNNNNNNNNNNNNNNNNNNNNNNNNNNNNNNNNNNNNNNNNNNNNNNNNNNNNNNNNNNNNNNNNNNNNCUCACUUUGCAAACAAUCUAUAAGGGAUUGACAACCCCUUCAUAGUGUUGGGUGCAAGCUCUUUGUGUUUGUGCAGGUACUUGUGACUUGACUCGAUCCUCCUACUGGAUUGAUACCUUGGUUCUCAAACUGAGGGAUAUACUUACCGCCGCUGUGCUACAUCACCCUUUCCUCUUCAAGGGAACACCAACGCAAGGCUCCAAGGCCGCGGGGCUACAUCACCCUUUCCUCUUCAAGGGAACACCAACGCAGGGCUCCAAGGCCGCGAGGAAAUCCUUUGCAUAUUUGCCAAGGAAGUCCAUAUAGGCGUAGCCCGUAGCAGAAGGAUUCCUGGCGCCGUUGCUAGGGAAGGUCUUUUGUUGCCGUAGCAGUACCCUUGGAUAGCAAGGAUGGACGUCGUUCUUUUAUCGUUUGUCUUCGUACGUAGUCGGACCCUGCUCUUCAUCAUGAUGACUGUAUAUUGUUGUAUUGAUGUGAUCUUGAUGUAUCUUGUGGCAAGUGUAAGCCAACUCCUUAUACUUAUCUUUUCAGUACAUGUACUUGUAACGAUAUCCAUUCUUGCGAAACGGCGAGAUGUGUUUCAAUUCCUGUCGAGGCCCUCGCGCCAAAAUAAGGAUAGGACCGCAUCUUGGGUUUUACAAUGUGGCACUAAGAUAUAUUGUGAUGUGCUGACAAUUUGGUUAGUGGAACUAAUGCCAGUUUGUAGAGUUUACCUCGGGAUAUUGGUUUCACGGAGAUCCCAUUGGAGUUGUGUGACCACCCAUAAUAGGGGAUUUGUGGUGCGAGAGUUGCAACCUGAAAAGUGCAUGUGGCACUAAGAUAUAUAGUGAUGUGAUGACAAUCUGGUUAGUGGAACUAAUAUCAGUUUGUAGAGUUUAUCUUAGGAUAUUGGUUUCACAGAGAUUCCAUUGGACUUGUGUGACCCCCCACCAUUCAAAAAGGUCAAGUCGUAUUUACCGAUGACUCAAAGGUUUUUGUUGGUUUGAUUUGAGUCGUAUGAAAAUCGCACUAUCAAGAGGGGUCAUCAUGGAUGUGUCAUGUGUGAAUGCCUCCAAACUUAUACACCAGCCAUCCUACACCUACGACCAAGAAUCCACUUAUAAUGUGCUUUUUGAGGUGUCUUGUGAGCUUCAACAAAAACUCUCUCGACACCCGAGGUUCCACGAAACUCUCUUGACAUCCCAUGAUCACGGGGUCCUAGACCCUCGUGUGCACNNNNNNNNNNNNNNNNNNNNNNNNNNNNNNNNNNNNNNNNNNNNNNNNNNNNNNNNNNNNNNNNNNNNNNNNNNNNNNNNNNNNNNNNNNNNNNNNNNNNCCAAACAUUUUGAGUAUGUGCUCACUGACAGAACUGUUCUCCUCCAUCUUACAGCUAAAGAACUUGUCGGAGACUUCAUAUCUCUCGACACGAGCAUGAGCUUGAAAAACUAGCUUCAGCUCCUGGAACAUCUCAUGUGCUCCGUGUUGCUCAAAACGCCUUUGGAGCCCCGUUUCUAAACUGUAUAACAUGCCACACCUAACCAGAGAGUAGUCAUCACUCCGCGUUUGCCAGACGUUCAGAAUGCCCUGGGCUGCCGCGGGAGCGGGAGGGUCACCUAGCGGCGCAUCAAGGGCAUAAGCCUUUUUAUCUGCCUCAAGGAUGAGCUNNUAGCGGCGCAUCAAGGGCAUAAGCCUUUUUAUCUGCUUCAAGGAUGAGCUUCAAGUUGCGAACCCAGUCCGCAUAGUUGCUACCAUCAUCUUUCAGCUUGUUUUUCUCUAGGAAUGUGUUGAAAUUGAGGUUGACGUUGGCCAUCUACAAUAUUUAUAAAGACAAACCUUUUAGACUAAGUUCAUGACAAUUAAGUUCAUUUAAUCAAAUUAAGUAUGAACUCCCACUUAAAUCGACAUCCCUCUAGUCAUCUAAGUGAUACAUGAUCCAUGUUGACUAACCCGUGUCCGAUCAUCACGUGAGACGGACUAGUCACCAUGGUGAGCAACUUCAUGCUGAUCGUAUUCAACCAUACGACUCAUGUUCCACCUUUCGUGCUGAUCGUAUUCAACCAUACGACUCAUGUUCGACCUUUCGGUCUCUUGUAUUUGAGGUCAUGUCUGUACAUGCUAAGCUCGUCGAGUCAACCUAGGUGUUUCGCGUGUGUAAAUCUGGCUUACACCCGUUGUAUGCGAACGUUAGAAUCUAUCACACCCGAUCAUCACGUGGUGCUUCGAGACAACGAACCUUCGCAACGGUGCACACUUAGGGGAAUACGUUCUCGAAAUUUUAAGAGGGAUCAUCUUAUUAUGCUACCGUCGUUCUAAGCAAUAAGAUGAAAAACAUGAUAAACAUCACAAUACAAUCAUAUAGUGUCAUGAUAUGGCCAUUAUCAUCUUUGCUCUUUCGAUCUCCAUCUUCAGGCAUCGCAUGAUCAUCACCAUCACCGGCAUGACACCAUGAUCUCCAUCAUCAUGAUCUCCAUCAUCGUGUCUCCGUGAAGUCGUCACGCCAAUUACUUCUAUCACUACCACUAUGGCUAACCGUUAGCAAUGAAGUAAAAGUAGUAAGCACAUGGCGUUGCAUCUCAUACAAUAAAUUAAGACAACUCCUAUGGCUCCUGCCGGUUGUCAUACUCAUCGACAUGGAAGUCGUGAAACCUAUUACAAUAACAUGAUCAUCUCAUACAUCAUACAUGCAACAUCACAACUUUGGCCAUAUCACAUCACAUGUCAAACCGUGCAAAAACAAGUUAGACGUCCUCUAAUUGUUGUUGCAAGUUUUACGUGGCUGAUUUGUGUUUCUAGCAAGAACGCCUUCUUACCUAUGUGAAAGCCACAACGAUGAUAUGCCAAAGCUAUUUACCCUUCAUAAGGACCCUUUUCAUCAAAUCAAUCCGACUAGAGUAGGAGAGACAGACACCCGCUAGCCACCUUUAUGCACGGUGUGCAUGUCUGUCGGUGGAACCAGUCUCACGUAAGCGUACGUGUAAAGUCGGUCCGGGCCUCUNNNNNNNNNNNNNNNNNNNNNNNNNNNNNNNNNNNNNGGGCCUCUUCAUCCCACAAUACCACCGGUAAAGAAUAAGACUAGUAGCGGCAAGCAAAUUGACAAAUCAUCGCCCACAACUUUUGUGUUCUACUCGUGCAUAGAAUCUACGCAUAGAAAACCUGGCUCGGAUGCCACUGUUGGGUAACGUAGCAUAAAUUGAAAAUUUUCCUACGCAUAUUCAGAUCUUCCUAUGGAGAGACCAGCAACGAGAGAGGGGUAAGAGCAUCUUCAUACCUUUGAAGAUCGCUAAGCGGAAGCGUUGCUAGAACACGGUUGAUGGAGUCGUACUCGCAGCGAUUCCGAUCUAGUGCCGAACUACGGCACCUCCGCGUUCAACACACGUGCAGCCCGGUGACGUCUCCUGCACCUCGAUCCAGCAAGGAGGAGGGAGAGGUUGGGGAAGAACUCCAGCAGCAUGACGGCGUGGUGUCGAUGGAGAGACGAGGUCUCCCGGCAGGGCUUCGCCAAGCACGGGCAGAGAGGAGGAGGAAGAAGGGCAGGGUUGCGCCGAGAGAGAGGCAAAAGUCUAUCUCUCAAUGGCCAAAAGUGCCCGAUAUAUAUAGGGAGAUGGGAGAGGGGGUGCCACCCCUAGGGUUCCCACCCUAGGUGGUGCGGCAGCCCCCCCAGAUGGGAGGUGCGGCGGCCAGAGGGGGGAGGAGGGGGUGGCGCACCACCUGGUGGGCCUUAGGCCCACCUGGCUUAGGGUUUGCCCCUCUUUUCUCUCCCCUGCGCAUUGGGCUGAGUGGGGAGGCGCACCAGCCCACCUAGGUGCUGGUUCCCACCCCCACUUGGCCCAUCUUACCUCCCGGGGUCGUUGCCCCCCUUCGGUGGUCCCCCGGGGCCACCUCCGAUGGUCCGGGUGGUCCCGGUACGUUACCCGUUAUGCCCGAAACACUUCCGGUAUCCGAAACCAUCCGUCCUAUAUAUCAAUCUUUACCUCCGGACCAUUCCGGAGCUCCUCGUGAUGUCCGGAAUCUCAUCCAGGACUCCGAACAACUCUCGGUAACCUCGUAUAACAAUUCCCUAUAACCCUAGCGUCACCGAACCUUAAGUGUGUAGACCCUACGGGUUCGGGAGACAGGCAGACAUGACCGAGACACCUCUCUGGCCAAUAACCAUCAGCGGGGUCUGGAUACCCAUGGUGGCUCCCACUUUCUCCACGAUGAUCUCAUCGAAUGAACCACGAUGUCAAGGAUUCAAUCAAUCCCGUAUACGAUUCCCUCUGUCUGUCGGUAUAGAACUUGCCCGAGAUUCGAUCGUCGGUAUGCCUAUACCUUGUUCAAUCUCGUUACCGGUAAGUCUCUUUACUCGAUGCCCAUACGUUGUUCAAUCUCGUUACCGGUAAGUCUCUUUACUCGUUCCGUAGCACGUCAUCGUGUGACUAACUCCUUAGUCACAUUGAGCUCAUGAUGAUGUUCUACCGAGUGGGCCCAGAGAUACCUCUCCGUCACACGGAGUGACAAAUCCCGAUCUUGAUUCGUACCAACCCAACAGACACUUUCAGAGAUACCCGUAAUGCACCUUUAUAGUCACCCAGUUACGUUGUGACGUUUGAUACACCCAAAGCACUCCUACGGUAUCCGGGAGUUGCACAAUCUCACGGUCGAAGGAAAAGACACUUGACAUUAGAAAAGCUUUAGUAUGCGAACAAUACGAUCUAGUGCUAUGCUUAGGAUUGGGUCUUGUCCAUCACAUCAUUCUCCCAAUGAUGUGAUCCCGUUAUCAAUGACAUNNNNNNNNNNNNNNNNNNNNNNNNNNNNNNNNNNNNNNNNNNNNNNNNNNNNNNNNNNNNNNNNNNNNNNNNNNNNNNNNNNNNNNNNNNNNNNNNNNNNAGUCUACCUCGGUGUACUAAUUUUCAUAGUAGUAAGGAUGAAAUUAGCUGGAAGACAAAUGGUGUGUCACACAAAUCGUAUAUUUCAAGUCAAAGGUAUGAUUCAUAUACAAGGUGUGAUUCUACUGUGAGUACGAUUUGAAACAUGCUAUACCCCGAAGAAAGCUAGAAUGUGAUAUGAAUUCACUACUCAACAAGAAGGAUACCCGCACAAACUUUUUCAUACAAGUAUCCAGCAGUCGGAAUAUUAANNNNNNNNNNNNNNNNNNNNNNNNNNNNNNNNNNNAGCAGUCGGAAUAUUAAAGGGUAUAUAUAUGGUAGUAAGUCAACAUAUCCCAGAUAGAAGCUUCUACUGUAAGCAACCUAGUCUGCCCUCACAAGCUACCGAAGAAGCUUACAAUGCAUGAUUCCUCUACCUUCCUCAGUAUGAUACGUGGAUGAAUUCUCGUGCAAGAUACUCAUGCUUCUUCCGUAAGCUACUGCAAAAGCUUCUGGCAUAAGGUAUUGAGUCUUCCCUAGCAAGACUUUAAGGGGGGAAGCUUCUAAAGUACGGUACUCAAUCUUCUUCAACAAGCUGUCUGACAAAAGCUUUGAGCACAAGCUAUUCAACUCGAUACUCUCGAUGUCUUCCAAUGGAAGCCGUCCAACUUUCCUCAAUACGACACCGCUCCAAGAUAUUACACACUAAUAUGGUAAUAUAUGGCAGUACAUCCCAAGAAUCAAAUCCACAAUAGUUUGGUCAGAAGCUAGAAUCAAUCAGAACACAAGUCUACCUCAGGAAUCAAAUACUUCCAUAAACACUAUGAGCAUGCUACCAAAUUCAUGCAAGUCACUCGCACGAUGAUGAAAUAACGGUAAGAAUCCAACAACCUCACGAGUUACGCAAGAGUAAAAAGUGAGUUAUACACUUCAGGGAGUGAUGCAGGGACCGACCAACUUUGUUGAAAGAUAGCGUGAGAAAAUUAUUUUUGGCAGUGCAUAUCCAGGCCAAACAUGGUGAUAUCGUUAACCCUUAUCACGAGCUUGUAUGAUGGACGACAACAAUGAGCUCUCUACAAGCACAUGUGAAUCUAGCAUAUAUCCUAUGGCCCGAGUCGUGAACAAGGCCAAUGUAUGAUGGCCAAAAUAUUGCAUAUGACAGCACCUCUGGUCACAAGAAUUGAAGAUAUAUAUGUGGACAAGAUCCUUCGGCAAAAGGAUCCACACAAAGAAACCAAUAAUGAAGGAGCGAGACCGUCAAUACAAAUAUGCCACUUGUUGCUUGACCAACAAGGUAGAGAUACCAGGACGGUCAGGUUUAGUAUUGUUUACCAUUGACUAUCCACCUAAGGGGUCUACUCCAUCUGUAAGGACCUCAUAUCAAGAUAACCCGCUCAACCAACAUUAUCUGCUCAAAACUGCUAGUAUCGACUAUCCAAGUCUAUCACGUAAAACAAAAGGCCAGCUCAACAGAUUAAAUUCAAUAACCGUGUUAAAGCAUGACAAAUCCUACUAUCCACAAGAAUAUAGCAACCGAAUAAGAAUGUAGUAUGCUAAACAACAGUCUCGAAGCAUGUGCCCUCGCAUAGGGGAAUCAGUUAAAGGAUAGCCUGCCAAGAACAAGAUGCUUCUGUCAGAACCAACGUCUGUUAAGUCUCGAGAUGCUACUAUUAUAAGGCUAUACUCCUUUCUACUGGUCACAACAAACGACAGUCAGACCUUUGGUAUGAAUCUGGUACUCAAGACAGUGGAAAUAUCCAAGAUGAUGAAGGAAUACGAGUGAGAAGUCACACNNNNNNNNNNNNNNNNNNNNNNNNNNNNNNNNNNNNNNNNNNNNNNNNNNNNNNNNNNNNNNNNNNNNNNNNNNNNNNNNNNNNNNNNNNNNNNNNNNNNCUUGGAUAAAAUAGGUCAUUCCGGAGCAAACUAUGCUUAUUAAGCCAGUUUGGAUCUAGCUAGGCUAAUUAUAGGCCAUUUAAUACCUAAAUUAGAGGGAAUUGGUCAUCUUACAACUACGUAAGCCUUAUUAUGUUAUUUAGGAGAGAACUUAGCUAACUGUAGGUCAUUUUUUAUUAAAUAGGUCAUUUUGGAGCUAACUAAGCUAAUUAUGUCAUUUCGUAGGAUAAUUAGCCAAUUUAGCCUUUCUUAGAUGAGUCUAAGCUACGUAGAAGAAGAGAAAGAGAAGAAGAAGUAAAAGAAGGAGGAGGAGGAGGAGGAGGAGAAGGAGAAGGAAGAGGAGAAGAAGAAGAAAAGAAGAAGGAGAAGGAGAAGGAGGAAGAAGAAGGAGAAGGAGGAGCUCCUUCUCCUUCUUCUUAUCCUCCUCCUUCUCCUUCUUCGUAGGAUAAUUAGCCAAUAUAGCCAUUUUGGAGCUAACUAAGUUAAUUAUGUCAUUUAGAUGGAAGUCUAGUUAUUUUUUAUUAAAACACNNNNNNNNNNNNNNNNNNNNNNNNNNNNNNNNNNNNNNNNNNNNNNNNNNNNNCUAGAAAUAACAUAACAUUAUCGUCAUCACAGCGGUGAAGCACGGUGGCUCUGGCUUGUUUCACCUGGAGAAGGCUGCCAUGGAGAAGGCUCGACUGUAGAAGGGUCGUGCGAUGCUUUUUGGGAGAUAUUCUGCACCAAACAUCAUUUGCAAUGUGUAGUUAGCAUGAGGACACUCUUAAGAUCACUGCACUGAAAUGAAACUCACCAUCCCCGCCACGUUAAUGACUGGCAUCGGCGGAGGGACUUGGUCGCUCUUCUCGCACAUAGACUGUACAUUUGGUUUCGACAAGUCAAACUUUUUAUUUAUUAAUGAAACGGACAUUCAAAUGCAAGAUUUGAAAUAACAUGAAGAAGAAACUUACCACGAAGAGCUCGUAUAUGGCCCUGUUAGACGCAUCAUUCCGUGCCCUCUCCGCCUCCACCAAUGCAGUCGUCCUCUCCUCCAGCUCCCUAAUUUCCUUAUCCUUCUCCGCCAUAGCCGCCUGCAUUGCCUCUCUCUCUUUCUGAAUAGCAGCCUGCAACACAACUCGUUGUUAGCAAUGUAAUCAUAUUGGUUCCAACGCACAACAUAAUGCGGAAAGAUAGUUGAGUCCAUUAAACUAACCUCGAUGGUGAGCUCGAGGUCGUGGAUGACGUGUUAUCUCCGUACAAGAGCUCGUUUGGCAUGCCUUUAUCUACCGGAGAGUGCUAGGACAACGUAUAAGGUCGUCUCCAAUGGAGAUCGAGCCAUGGGGCCUCCCGUUGCCAGCUAUCAUCACCAGCUCUGGAUCAAUAGGCCCCCCGCUCGGGUUAAAGUCCUCCCCUUUCCUCGCCUUCCCGUGAUCUCUGUACUUCACGAGCUUGUGGUGGGAGGCGAUGUUGGUGAAGUUUUCUGGAUGCUUGUGGUGGGAGGAGAUGUUGGUGAAGUUUUCUGGAUGCUCGAGGUCAGACUCAGAGAAUGCCUUGACCUUCUUUUACGAGGCAGUAUGGGCCAUCGCAUACAGGUCGUACAUCUGUGGCACCUCCGUCUUAUUGUGAUGCGACUAAAAGAGAGAGAGAGGAAAUUGUAUUCGUAGAGGGCUCAAGAUAGCAUUAAGAAUGAACUGCAUGAGGCAUGAAGCAAACCACAUACCGAGUUCUCGCCAAAUUGGAUUAAGUUGAUGCUCCCUUGAUGGUGUGGNNNNNNNNNNNNNNNNNNNNNNNNNNNNNNNNNNNNNNNNNNNNNNNNGGCACGCCAACCAUUUUGCCACGCCUCUCCUUGGCGUUGUUGUGGCUGGCCUCCCAUGUUUCGGAGCACCACUGGUCCACCAAUGCCUCCCAACAAUCCAUCUUAUCCACACACCAUCUCGGGGGCACCUAAGUUAAUAAAGAGAAAUUUGAGCGCGUAAGAACCAAAUCAAGGAAACUAACUACAAAGCCUUAAUAAUAUGUAAUUACCUUCAUGUAAUUCUCCUUCUCCAUCUUAGCGUCACGGCACUUCGCCUUGUCAAUCCUAAUACGCCACGUGGCAUAGUAGUCUCGAACACCCUGCACCCGAGCCUCGUGCCGAAAGUUUUGAAGUAGGCGGCGACAUUCGGUUUCGAUAACCUUUGUUGCGUCCUCCUCGUAUCCCUCGUCACACCUGUAGUAGGUCUGCAAACGAGGCAACACCGAUUAGUACAAUAAAUAGCUAUGGUUGAUUUAUAAUUGUGUGAAGGAGAAAUUACCCAGAACUUUCGGAUCACCAUGUCCGCCCUCGUGUCGCACAAAACACCGUCGAUCUCCACCUCCGGCGGGGCCGGGGCACCCAAGUAGUGCUCCCAGGUCAUUCCUACCUCUCGCUCCCGACCGGGAAACGUAACAAACCCUGGGAAGUUUUUACGGCAAAGCGCACCAAGGACGCUGUUGGGUUUGCGGACCCCCUUGGCAACAAUCCAACCCCUACAGUAUGACAAAUUAAAGACAAAACAUUAGAUAUUUGGGAAAACGCGAAGGCAAAAGGUUAAAUAAGAGUAAAUUAACUUACUUGUCCCCAUUUGGCCUAAUCGACCACCUGUGCUCGGGGUUCGCUGGCACGAGCGGGAGCCCCGAACUACCACACUGGUAGACAAUAGCCCCCUCACCUAUCUCCUCGUCGCUACCAGCAUCCGACUAGGUCUCUUANNNNNNNNNNNNNNNNNNNNNNNCAUCCGACUAGGUCUCUUAGGACGUACCCUCAUCCCUUCUUUGCUCCGGAGUCGCCUGGAAUGAAGCCUCUGGGACACGAGUCUCAUGGGUCGAAGGCUCGUCGACCUAAGGCUCGUCGACCCGAGGCUCGUGCACUGGAUAUAGUGUAGCCUCCACCUCAGACGAAUCCACCCUAGAAGUCCUGUGCUUAGGUGAAUCAGCGUGGGGUGGUGGCGAAGACCGUGUAGCCGCCACCUCAGAAGGCGUGGCAGCCACCGCCCUACCUCUCCUGCGGCCACGUGUACCUUUAGUACUACAUAAAUACCAACAUGAGUAAUAAAAUGUAUAUAAAUACCAUUAUGCAUACAACAUGAGUACAACAUAAAUACCAACAUGAAUACAACGUGUACCUUUAGUACCUCUCGGCUUCGCGGGGGGUCGACCUCCUCUCACGGGGGGUGCUCCUUGCAUAGUAGAGAGCAACACUCUCCGAAGAGGCGAGGCAGGAAUGGAAGUACCCAUCCCAUCACCCACCGACGAAGAAGGAGCCGCGGAGUGCUUUCGACCCUUUCCCACCAUCUUUCAACACCUGUCAUGACAAAGGGUAAAUGAAAUUAGUACAAAAUAAAUACCAACAUGAGUAAUAAAAUGUAUAUAAUUUAAGUGUAUCAUCAUCAUAAAUACCAACANNNNNNNNNNNNNNNNNNNNNNNNNNNNNNNNNNNNNNNNNNNNNNNNNNNNNNNNNNNNNNNNNNNNNNNNNNNNNNNNNNNNNNNNNNNNNNNNNNNNACCAAAUUAGGUCUUACUUUUAUGUAGUUUCCUUGGUGAUAUUCAUAUGCCUCUGUUAUACUUUACUUGAUGUUAAGUUAUAUGCUAUGUGACAUGAUAGCAAGUCAGGAAGGCUGAAAGUGGGAGGCCAUGUUGAACGCAACGAUUAUUGAUACACUUAGGCUAUUAGGAAACCAAGAUCUUGAAAUAUAUUUUUCUAAGAAUGAGCACACUAUCCAUACGCAGGACAUUAUGGGAGCCCAUGGACACUUUCUACAGUUGUAAAUUGUCCACGGGUCAUAAUGGUGUUGUACUAUUUGUAUGUAUUGUUUUGCAGGUAUGAGGAGACGUUCCAUGGUAAUGGUAUGAUUUUACCAUUAGGGUGUUUUUUCCCAUGAUGUUCCUUUGGGCCCGCAUGUGUAGGACUUCCCCACUAGUCCUAAAAUUGUGUGGUUGCGAAUGGCUAUGCUCGGACUCGACACUAGCCACGUGUCACUGGUGUGACACAAUUGGAUCCGAUUCAGAGAUAUAUCUCCCCGACUAGGAUGUAGUAACGAAGUACGUAUCAUUUGUUUGAAACUACGUAGCUUAGCCCGUCGUGGGUCACAACAUAAGGUCGGCGAGCAUGUGUUGUCAUGCCAUUCAGAACUUUAGCUGCUAUCACAAGAAAUGGGCGCCCCCCGUGGGUCAGUUCUUGUUGUGAACAACGUGUGUAUGGAGCUUAUAGUGGGUAUGCAUGGUUAAGGAUGACUUGAGCUUUAUGACAGUUCAUAAGAUAACUUCAAUCAUACUCGCCAAAACUUGUCCGCCCUUAAACUUCAUGUUAAUUGCAUGUUCUACUUCAACCAUAAUUAAUGGAAACCCGUGCACCACAUGAGUGACAUGGGGUAAUUCCUUGGGGAGGGUGUCAGGGAGGAUUCGUGGUGGUGGUAUGCUUGACAGUUGGAUAGAAUGCUCAUGUGCACACAACACUUGUGUUGUGAUGCAUGAAAUUUGGGACAUGUGGUCCUUUGGUUCUCAUGUUGUUCCACUAGACAUAAGUUGUAGCAUUGCCUAGUGCUUGCAACUUCACCACUCAUCCUUUCCAUACCUAUCGGUAUUGUUAUUUGUAGUACCCUUGGUAAUGAUACUUUUCAAGUACCCUGGUACUCACCCUUACCAUAAUAACAGGUUGCAUAUAUUGUGAUGGAUAAUGUUAGCUUGGUUGUCCUUCGGACAAUGGUCUUGGCAAGGUAAUGGACGCAUUUGCUUUUAUUUGAGCCUUCUUGACGCAAUUUGUAUUCUUGCUUCUCCGCCUCCCCCAUAUGAAUUGGACUUUGGUCAUAAGACCCUGAAUGUAUCAAAUAUUGCAUAUGUAUGUAUCUUGUUGUAUGCGGAACUUAUAAUNNNNNNNNNNNNNNNNNNNNNNNNNNNNNNNNNNNNNNNNNNNNNNNNNNNNNNNNNNNNNNNNNNNNNNNNNNNNNNNNNNNNNNNNNNNNNNNNNNNNUCACCUACAUGCUACGUCAACAACAUCAUUCGAAGGUAUGUACUCAUUCGAAGUGAUAUGAGG